rnacentral:rRNA from 1 species
GUAGGGUGCAAGCGUUAAUCGGAAUUACUGGGCGUAAAGCGUGCGCAGGCGGUUGUGCAAGACAGGUGUGAAAUCCCCGGGCUUAACCUGGGAACUGCACUUGUGACUGCACAGCUGGAGUACGGCAGAGGGGGAUGGAAUUCCGCGUGUAGCAGUGAAAUGCGUAGAUAUGCGGAGGAACACCGAUGGCGAAGGCAGUCCCCUGGGCCUGUACUGACGCUCAUGCACGAAAGCGUGGGGAGCAAACAGGAUUAGAUACCCUGGUAGUCCACGCCCUAAACGAUGUCAACUGGUUGUUGGGAAGGUUUCUUCUCAGUAACGUAGCUAACGCGUGGAGUUGACCGCCUGGGGAGUACGGCCGCAAGGUUG